rnacentral:rRNA from 1 species
UGGCUCAGGAUGAACGCUAGCUACAGGCUUAACACAUGCAAGUCGGAGGGGCAGCGCGGGAGAAGCUUGCUUUUCCUGGCGGCGACCGGCGCACGGGUGCGUAACAGGUGUGCAAUCUGUCCAUAGUCGGGGGAUAGCCCAGCGAAAGCUGAAUUAACACUCCAUGUGAAUCGAAGCCGCAUGACUUUUGAUUUGAAACGCAAGGACUAUGGGUGAGCACGCUUCUGAUUAGCUAGUUGGUGGGGUAACGGCUCACCAAGGCGACGAUCAGUAGGGGUUCUGAGAGGAAGGUCCCCCACAUUGGAACUGAGACACGGUCCAAACUCCUACGGGAGGCAGCAGUGAGGAAUAUUGGUCAAUGGGCGAGAGCCUGAACCAGCCAAGUCGCGUGAAAGGAUGAAGGUUCUAUGGAUUGUAAACUUCUUUUGUCCGAGGGUAAAAAAGGCCACGUGUGGCUUCUUGCAAGUAUCGGACGAAUAAGCAUCGGCUAACUCCGUGCCAGCCGCAGC